UAAGUAGUGUGAGUUGCAGAAUUCCGUGAAUCAUCGAAUUUUUGAACGCAAAUUGCACUCCCUGGUAUUCCGGGGAGUAUGCCUGUUUGAGGGUCAGUCUAAGUAAAAUCGAGGCGUCGCCUUGGUGACAAUUUCGGAAUUGGGUUGUCUUAACCUCU
rnacentral:rRNA from 1 species